CCGCCGGAGGAGUUUCUCAGGACUGCUAAAUUGUGAAUCGGCUAAUUUGGCACGCCUGAAAAACUACUCUUGUAGG
rnacentral:pre_miRNA from 1 species